rnacentral:rRNA from 1 species
ACGCUUGAAGUCAGUCGCAUUGGCUGGGGAUCAACCUUGCUCUUUUGCUUGGUGUACUUCCCAGUUGAUGGGUCAGCAUCAAUUUUGACCGGUGGAUAAAGGCUAGGGGAAUGUGGCAUCUUCGGAUGUGUUAUAGCCCUUGGUUGUAUACAUCGGUUGGGAUUGAGGAACUCAGCACGCCGCAAGGCCGGGUCUUUGACCACGUACGUGCUUAGGAUGCUGGCAUAAUGGCUUUAAUCGACCCGUCUUGAAACACGGACCAAGGAGUC